GAUGAACGCUGGCGGCGUGCCUAAUACAUGCAAGUCGAGCGAACGGACGAGAAGCUUGCUUCUCUGAUGUUAGCGGCGGACGGGUGAGUAACACGUGGAUAACCUACCUAUAAGACUGGGAUAACUUCGGGAAACCGGAGCUAAUACCGGAUAAUAUUUUGAACCGCAUGGUUCAAAAGUGAAAGACGGUCUUGCUGUCACUUAUAGAUGGAUCCGCGCUGCAUUAGCUAGUUGGUAAGGUAACGGCUUACCAAGGCAACGAGGCAUAGCCGACCUGAGAGGGUGAACGGCCACACUGGAACUGACACGGUCCAGACUCCUACGGGAGGCAGCAGUAGGGAAUCUUCCGCAAUGGGCGAAAGCCUGACGGAGCAACGCCGCGUGAGUGAUGAAGGUCUUCGGAUCGUAAAACUCUGUUAUUAGGGAAGAACAUAUGUGUAAGUAACUGUGCACAUCUUGACGGUACCUAAUCAGAAAGCCACGGCUAACUACGUG
rnacentral:rRNA from 1 species